ensembl:lncRNA
AUGUGCUCAGAAGGCGACAUAAGUAACUGGGUGAGCAGGACAAUAGCAGUAUUUAUUGUAAUCAUGGUGAUGCACAGUGCUAAUGCUACGUUCCUCCUCCCCAGCAUCUCCAACUCGGCUCCACCCUCAGGAUGGACGGAAUUGAAAUUCGGGAGACCAAGGAUCCACGAUAUGGAGUCCAACGGUUCCACUGAGCUCCCCCCAACCCCCCCCCCCCCCUUCGACCCCCGAAACAUUUUCCAAACCCCUUCCCUCCGCGCCUCUGCUCGUCCACCCCCAAAACACCCCAGCUCUUCAGGUCCAACCACUGGUCUCGGAGUGGAGGCUCCAUCCAGCGUAAAAUAAAACUGAAAUGGAAGAUAUUCAAAAUGAGAAACUUUACAUCUGUUUGAAGAGAGAUACGAUAAAAAGGAAUAAUGUGAUCAGCUUUAUAAAUCUCUGGGAAAAUAAUGAUACACAGUAUUAAUUAUCACAUAAUAUUACUAAACAAAGGUAAUGAAGUAAAUGAUGAUAUGCUUGCGACAGGUGUAUACUAUGAAAAUCGACAUAUUUUUAUUCAGAAUGGAAAAAAUGUCCAGCUUUAAAAAGAACCGUUUAGAAGUGCAUAUAUGUACAAGCAGGUGCUACUUCUGAAAUAUCACAUUUUUAAAAAAGAACAAAAACCAACAAGAAUUUUGUACAGCCACAGUGUUAUUUUGAAGACCAUCUUUUUUCAGACAGAUUUUCAACUUCCCCUCUUUGUACAAGUCUGGCCCCAUACAUAAAAAAAACUAAGACAUGUAAAUAAGGUGUUUCUAUGGAAACAGGGUAAAAAAAAACAUCAAGCAGUUAUUAAUCCAUGAUUAGCCUCCUUUAGAAGCCUUUGGAAUAGCAUCUUCUUUCUAAAGAACGUCUUGGGAAAGAAGUGUGGAUUAUCGGGAUAAUAUCUUCUCUCUGUGGAAUUUCGAUCAACCAACAUCCCAGAAUCAACUAAAUCCUACAGGGGCAACGAAGGUUGGUAACGAUGCACUGAAUCAAUUGACGGGCAUAGAAAAGAAAACACUUCAUAACUAUCAGCACUUUCAUUCCACUGAAAUUCAACAAACCAGUUUGGCUCUUUAUCUCACCAUUCUGUUCUAAUGGUUGUUUGUUCACCUCAGUACAUGAAGAGCCCUACAUGUUGCAUUGAGGUUUGGCUUAACAAAUAAAGGUAUACAGGACUCUGUGCUUCGUGUGCCAACCUCCACCAUGGCGUAGACCGAGGGUAGGCUAGCUGUGUCACAGGUGCAGCAUGACUUCUUUCCCCAACCAGACACUACACCAGACCAACAGAGGUUCUGAUCAGUUCGCUGAUUGAUUACAGUCGGCGCUGCUGGUCUCCCGGGUCGGUUUAAGCAAAAGAAAGACAUGCCUGCAGCUCUCUGGGACUGGGGUUUGCAUUCCCAUGCCCUGGAUUAUGACAGCGGGCCCAUACUCAGUCCAAAAGGCAGCACCGGAACAUUAAACAAGCCCCAAGAGCUGGGCCCCCCUCCUCGGGUCAGGGGCCCAGGAUCCAAGCACAGAUGAGUUGGAUGCAAAAUAACUCUCCCCCCUCUCAAGCACUCAUACGCCCCACCACACACUGUGCCCUUCUGCGUCCGUUCUGUUAUGUCACGGACCUUGCCACAAGCUCCUUAGUCCAGCCAAGGAGUCUAGAGUUGGAUGGAUUUACGCCCAGAAAGUGUCGUGUGUUUGUAAUACCGGAAUAUUGUCCUAGGUCUUUGUAAUAUCGGAAUGAUCCUUGAUGUUCCUGAAGUGUACUUCACAACUUCGAUUGUGUAAACACUUGUGAACUUCACAAUCCCAAAACCAGAAAAAAAAUUGGCGGAAAGGUUUGACAAGAAGGUAGAAACGAAGUUUUAUAGUAAAAUCUGAAAAGAAAAAUGUAUAACAACGCAAAUUUGCCCUUUUUUCUUAAUGGCGGGUUGGAGUCGCCGUGGAUGCUGAUCAGAGUUUUCUCUCAGGGAGAUGCAGCUAAUGAAUAAUAUGUACACUAUUUUACCAGAUUUUAGUAGAGUAGAAUAAAGUAUAGUGAUCGACCCUGACACUUCCAAUGCCCAGAGAUUUUUUCUCAGAUCAUCUUACUGUGAGGCUUUGCUGCAGGUCAAAAAGUAUAGGUCCCCUCUGCCCUAGAAUCUUGUUUCAAUAUCCCUUUGUUGAAUGACUCCAUAUUUGACCAAUAGGGGCUCACUAUUCAGGAUCACAGAUCCCACCUCGGUUCCAAUAAAUCCAGGAUAUCCCGGGGUUGCUCUUCAGCGGUGAGGUAACUGUCACAACGACGUCUUGGGUCUGUAGAACUAGUAUCAUCAUACUGAGGUCAGUGAGGUUGGCCUCCUCUGGUGCCAUCAGGUCGUACCGCCGUGCCAGGCUGAAGUGAUGGGAUGUUGGAUGCGGAGCAGAGCGAAUUAAAGCAAUCAACCCAGAUGGGGGAGGGACUACCUCCGCGGUGCUUUCCUGUAAUGUCUGACACCUUAAAUUCCCCGUACUUGAACUUUGAACCUCCAGUAGAAAUGGUGAUGUGGAAGGGCUCCUAGUUUGAGAUGUAGCAAAUUAUAAAGGAGGAGAAGCUUAUGAAGAACAAAAAAGAGGAGGAGCAUCUGAAGAACAAAAGGAGGAGGAGCUUAUGAAGAACAAAAGGAGGAGGAGGAAACUAGCGAAGUGGCAUCAAAAGUCUGACAAACACAGUCAACAUCCUACUGGAGAUGUCAGGCAGAGACAGGUGCUAUUUAUUCGCCCUUCUUCUCAGCCCAAAACCCUUCCUUUGGCUCCUGUGGAUCAGCCAUUCUGAAAUGAGGACUUGUAAAUGCAAAAAUUUAUGUUUCACUGGUAAUGGUAGUAUUUGAAUGAGUAUCAUCAUAGUGUUUUGGAUACCUUUCUUUUCCACCACAGGCCAUGACCAUUUUCAAACCCCUCUUUUUCUGUUUAUUGAGUCUAUUUUGAAGAAAAACAAUGUCCUCCUUCAACCUUUUAUCAGCCUAAGGAACAUAGGGACUGAAGAUCAGAAUGGCAACUGACCACACAGGUAUUUGGGGAUAUGAAGGGUAUAUGAAAAGUUAGAACAAAAGGCUUUAUAAUUUAGUGUGCUUAGUAUAAAUUUCCCUUCAGCAUUUCUUUAUUUUUGUACAUUUCUGUACUUUUUGUUUGUGAAGAUGACAUGACCUGAGUUGUCCCCCAGCUGCAGUCUAUACACAUCAACACUCCUCCGUCAUAGCAACGGCAUACAUCGACCCAGGUGGGUACCUCAUGGUCAAGUGCUUGGACCCCUACAAAUAUUUGGAGAGUUUUAUAUUCUGCAGAGAGUCUGUAUUUUUGUAUGGCGGGUGGGUGACCUCACUAUACCGUUUUGAACAGCGUCAAGCCAUACACCAUCUAACAGACGUUUCACCAGGCUAGUCCCGUUGUCAACCAAGAGAAGCGGGAUUUUCACAACACAAGGGUUUUCACAAGGACAGAUCUUCUACACAGACACUUGAGGUACUUUUAGCACCCAAUUCCUCAACUAUUUCUCUGUUGUUUAUUAGUGCAUUACUUCCAGCACCCUAAUCGUUGUGGAUUUCUCCGGUGUGUAUUUGACCUCUGGUUAACAGUCAUGAACUGCAUGGGGGACAAGGGGCCAAAAGUAAUGCACUACUGAGAGAAGAUUUCAGACCACCUCCCUUUAUAGGCCUUUCAAAGCGGAUGUGUGCUCCCACUCUCCAGCCAAACGUCAUUUCUAAUUCAUUUUGUAACAGUGGAACAUCUGCCAUCUCCCAAGUGUAGAGAAAUGUGUUGGGAUGAAUACUAACAAAAUACUUUUUUCUUUUUUUUUUCUUUAAACCCGUCGUAUUGGCUGCAAAGAGACCUGUCACAAAAAUUGCCAUGUCAGUACUUCCAAGUCAUUUUGAGUAACAAAACAAUAUGACAACUGACACAGUAUACAAACACGAUUUGUUACUCUGUCCAAAAGUUGAUAUGUUCAAUGGAAAUGUGCCAAAAAAUGACAUUUAGAUUCUAUUUAUAGUCUUAGUGUUGAGCAUCCCUUCUGAUGAUUCAUAUGUCAGACCGUUUCUCGCUGGGAUAAGAUUGUGACUUCAAUAUACAAGAUUCUCUGUACUAACGUCUGACAGAGGAGUCACUUGAGGUGCAUUUCUACUUUUGCUUCUCCAAAUAGUUUUUUCUUUGUGUGAUCAAAAUGUGCCAACACAAGAAUUGAAAAUGUUGGCGUGCAUUUGAAUUCAUUCAGCCAUUUAUUUUGACGUGCAUUAUGUGUUGAACGCUGCUUUCACUCUUUAUUUUGUUGCUUUGCUCUAGUUGUAAUGUUAUUUUAUAUCGUAAUGAGAUGCUGUGUUGUCUCUCGAUGUUAUGAAAAUGGAAUGUUUAUGCAAGAUUGUCACAGCGGGAGAGUUCAUUGUGACAAGACAUUGUCACGCACCGCUUUAACAAUGUUAGUGUUGUUGUUUUAAAGAAAAAAACUGAAAUAAAUAAAUUGAAUAUCAUGCCUUUACAUUAUUUACGGUAAAGAUACUGUAAAUACCACGGAAAGAUAAUAGUGAAGUCAGUUAACAUCUGAUGCCAUCUUGUAGAAUUUGUAUUGCAAUCCUAAUGUUUGCACUAUGCAAGAUAAACUUACAAGACCUGUAAAGCAG